AAAAUUAUACGAAAACUGAAGAAGCUAAAGUUGAGGAGCUUAUAAAGGUAGUUGCUGAUUCUGGUGCCAAAGUAAUUGUUAGUGGAGCAGCAGUUGGGGAGAUGGCACUUCAUUUCUGUGAGCGCUACAAUUAAAGCUUAGCAAGCCAAACCCAGAUGACCUGGGACAUGUUGAUUCAGUUUCAGUAGAAGAAGUUGGUGGUGCUAGGGUCACUGUUGUGAAGAAUGAAGAAGGUGGGAACUCCGUAACCACUGUUUUAUUGCGAGGAAGCACAGAUAGCAUUUUAGAUGACAUUGAAAGAGCAGUUGAUGAUGGAGUAAAUACUUACAAGGUAAUUUGGACU